AAAAAAAAAAAAAAAAAAAAAAAAAAAAAAAA
rnacentral:ncRNA from 4 species